AAGGUGCAGAUUCAUUCUGAUUGCAUGGAUACUGUUCCAUUUCAUUUAAUAUUUUAAUCAUUUCAUUCAUUCUUAUAUAUCCUCCCAGCUAACAAUAAACGGCUAUGAUUUUAUAGAAAUUCGAGAUAAAUCAGAAGUUUUAAUGAUGGACCACCUGUCCUCCUAUAUACCUGGCACAUCUGAAAUAUUUAUCAUUCAUUCAUUUAUUCACCGAACAAAAUUAACGACUCUGACUUAAGAAUAUAAAUAUCGCCCUUGUAAUAAUGAUUCUAUGUCUUAGGGGCUAAGGUCUGGUGUGAUUGUUUUUAGCCUUUAUCUGCCUGUAGCGGAGGCAUCUAAAUUAAACAGUGAUUAAUCCAUCUUCCCUCAACCAAUCAAACUGCCCGAAUUCCUGGAUUAAAUUUCGUUUCUAAUAUAUGAUAUGUACAACUUGCAUGUUUUUUAAGGGAAAUUUUGUUGCAAAUAUUUUUGUUGGCCUGUGAUUGGUAGUGUAGAUGGGUGUCAGAUGAAUUCACAAAUAUCAACGCAAGAGAAAGCACGAGAAACUAUGACGUUGUCAUUGUAUUGCAGGGUUAAUAAUAUUAAAAUAGCUUAAAACAAUUGAAUAAAGGGGUUCUGAGCGCCAGAUGGCAUUCGCUGACAAUCCAGAUGCCUUAACUGUUCUUAGACAUCUUACAAUCUCGUUUAGCGUGGUAAAUGCAGAGAAAAUAUGGAAAUACAGAGUUAUGUGCUCUUUCAGAGCCUCUUGCAUAUAUUUUCCUAUUCUGCUCUCUUCAUCACAUAGGGAGAAAAACUAAAUUACUUUUUCCCAUUUAGGAUUUGGAUUUAGCCCAGGGUUUAGUAACCAGUUCAAAUGGAACUUUUUGGAUCUAGCUGCAAGAGGCCCUAUGGCGAGAAUUAUUUGCAAAAGAUUGGUUGUGCCCCAUGCUGACAGGAACAGAUUCAAGCCCUUCGGUGCAACACCAGGUACUCUCUAAUUCCUAUAAAAUUUAUUUUUUCUUUGAUUGAUUUGAGAUUGGUAAGAGACUAAGACAUUAUAAAUCCACAAACCGAGAUCAGGUCUUUUGAAUAGAAGAUCAUAUUUAUUUUAGCUGAAUUUAUUUUAUACGCAUGGCUAUAUAAGGGUAGUAUAUUAAAGAGCUGCCUUCAGGAAUAUAGAAUAGAUUUUGUCUUUUUUUUUGUUUUCUUUUUCACAUAGAUUUGAGAUGGCAAUAUAAUAGUGGACUACCCACAAGAAGCAUGAACUUAGAGACACCAUUUUGUAGAUGCCCAUAUCCUGUUUCAAACCUCCAUGCGAUGCCAUCAGACCACAUUUCGGUCACAUCCUUAUCUAUUUUUCCACAUUUUUCGUUCAUUUUUAUAUAUGACGCGGGCUGAGAAACAAUGACUCCACUCUUACCGCAGGUGCUAUUUCCAACAGAAGGAGAAUUUCUUGGGUGACGAAGUAUAAAGUAUAGCAGACAAAUUAGUUUGGGACUCUCACCCAAGCCUCCACUUGCAGAAUCCAUUUUUAUAAUGGUGAAGAGAUUUACGCCCCUUUCAAGAGCCUCCUUCCCAUGGAUCUGAAUUAAGAGUUGAGAAUGAAUUUUGGAAGAAGAUUCACAACAUUAGAUGUAUUUCCUCCAGUUCUCAAUUAUAAAUCAAAGCCCCCUAUAUUGUUUGAUGGAAUCACAAGACUCUAUACUUGGGCUGCCAGAAAUUACAAGGGUUUGUACGAUAUUUAGCUAGUCACAAGAGAUCUGCAUGAGAAGUUUGCUUGGUACAAGGAAAAAGUUUAUCCUCCUGGUUCGCUUCACAUUGAGCUAUUUUAUCCAUCAAGUUAUGGAUUGGUAUUUUCGUGGGCUGAGAAUAUAGUUGUACUUCAAAACCAAAAAGAAUGGAUGAGAUUAGUAGCAGCAGUUACAUUUCUUUUGGUUGUAUUAUUUAUCUUUUCUAUUGUGCAUUUCUUAUAUCUUGGAAGGUACAAAGUAUGCAUGUGUUUCUCUUUGAUAUUAAUCAUAAGAAAUGGCUCCUGAUGCAGGUGGACAAGCACAACAUUUACAUUUCUUUUGCCUGUACUAUCCAUCUUUUUUGUUGUGCAUUUCUUAUUUCUUGGAAGGUAUAAAGCAUGCAUGUGUUUCUGUUAACCUGUUGUUUCAUUGUCUAAAGACUAGGUAAUAGAUACAAAACCUUUUGCAAAUGAACGGUCAUAUGAAGAGAUAAAUUUGAUUUUUUUGCUGAUAAAAAUACAUCUUUAAUUGAAUUAAAUGCAAAUCAUAGUGUUUUUGAAGGACUAAGACAAUAGAAAUUUCCAUUGAAGGAGCAAGGAGCAGUUUGAAUCCAAGCAACCUAUUGUACUUGGUGUGUUACUGCAUUAAAUAUAGGCAGUAUGCUAUUUGGUGAUUGGUAUAAAACCUGUCAUAGAGUUUCUCUAUAGCCAAGGUUGAACUUUGGUGUCUUAGUAAAUGCGGCUCAGGAUUCGAGCCUUGAGCUUCAAAAGGGAGAGCUUUGGGUGCUAGGAAUUGUAGUACAUCUCACAUUCUGAUUAUUUGCAAAAACUUGCCCUUAUCCCAUAAUCUUUAAUAUAUUUUCUUACGCAAUAGCUCAUUUUAGUUGGAAUCCAAUUUAUUUGUCAUGGCUUAUUUGAUUGGAAGCUAACUACCAAAUACAAUGCAUUUUAUUGAUAAGGGUUAAAUUUAUGGGUAAACUUUACCUGUCAAAUAAUUAAUAAUUUUUUUAUGAUGUUUCCAUUCAAAUACUAAGCUUUUUGUAUAGAUAUAUAAGUGAAAGUCAAUCGGUUACUAUAUAGACAUCUAAAAAUUAGACUGCUUACGCCUACUUGCACAAUCUAAAAUUUGUGUUUGCACUAAAUAACUGAUUUCUAUUUUAGUUAAUGUCCAUAUUGUUAAUUUUACAGGUUUUUGAAUACAAAAGCUCCAUAAAGAAACUGAUUCCAAAAAAGAAAAUGAAAUCACGCAAUUGAUUACCACUGUUCUAGUUUUGUCUUCAAAAUGUAUAGCAUAGUUAAUAGUUAAAAGGCAAAUAAUGUUCAACCCAUUCCAAUUUAUUUGUCAUGGCUUAUUUGAUUGGAAGCUAACUACCAAAUACAAUGCAUUUUAUUGAUAAGGGUUAAAUUUAUGGGUAAACUUUACCUGUCAAUUAAUUUUUUUAUGAUGUUUCCAUUUAAAUGCUAAGCUUUUUGUACAGAUAUAUAAGUGAAAGUCCAUUGGUUACUAUAUAAACAUCUAAAAAUUAGACUGCUUAUGCCUACUUGCACAAUCUAAAAUUUGUGUUUGCACUAAAUAACUAGUUUUUGUUUUAGUUAAUCUUCAUAUUGUUAAGUUUACAGGUUUUUGAAUACAAAAGCUCCAUAAAGAAACUGAUUCCAAAAAAGCAAAUGAAAUCACACAAUUGAUUACCAUUGUUCUAGUUUUGUCUUCAAAAUGUAUAGCAUAGUUAAUAGUUAAAAGCUAAGUCACAAGGUUCGAAUUUGAAUUCAAAUUCGAUAGCCAUGAAAUUCGGAUGAAAUUCGACAAGAGAAAAAUUCGAAAAAAAAUUCGGAUAAAAUUCACCUUCUAUAAUUUUGUUUAUUUUUAAAUAUAUGUAUACUUCAAAUAAAUUAUCAGAAUAGUGACCCUUGUUGGAGAAAAUCCGAGGGCGACCCAGCAGUUGCAGACACCCAUGACCCAAUAGAUACAAAGAAUACCCACAACCAGCUGAGUUGUGUUUAGAGGCAGAUAGCAGUGCUUUAUAGAGGAAAUUCGAUUAAAUUCGAUUUUUUUUAUAGAAGUUUGAAAUUCGAUUAAAUUCAAACCUCAUCCAUGAAAAUCGUCGUAUCCUGUGACUUAGGUUAAAAGGCAAAUAAUGUUCAACCCAUAUAAAUCAGUUAACAAUGUGGGUCUUAUCAAACACAUUGUAUCUAGUAAAUUUUGUGUAUAUGUAUUGAGUAGAUAUUGCAUAUGCUACUAUCUGCCAUCUUCCCCAUUGAUUCUGAUAGUUGCAUUUAUAAAAUAAAAAUCUUUUUGAUCUUCCUACUACUGCACCAAAUCAAACAACUACAGUUCCUACCAUUGCUCUGCAGGAACUUCGUUGCUUGCAGUGCUUGUUAUUAUUAGUUCCUUUGGUAAGGUUGUGUGUUAAACAGUGAAUAAAAAUAUGUUUGCUUGAUCAAUAGGGUGGCUUGAUUUAUUCGAUGGCAAGGAUAUGCUAGGUUUAAUCCUCUAUUAGGCAAAGGAAUGUGCUCGUGUUUUAAUGAUUGCCUGUAAGGUAGAAGCGUUGGUAGGCUGUAGAUGGUGGAUAGGAAGGCAUUGCAAACCCCGAUGCAGGAGAACGCUCAGAUACAGAGGAAGGAGGCGAAAACAAGAUCUCAGAAAGCGUGUGGGUGUCUGAAAGCGAGAGCCUCAUAAAAAUGAAGUGCAAUGGGAGGAACGAGGUCUACGCACAGAUGUCUAUUAGGGCUUUUGUUUUGGGCAUGCAGGCUAGAGGACCUGUUGUUGCGCAAGUGGGAGAUGACAGUAUAAAAUAAUAGUAAUAAACGCAUGAUGCGAAAUUUCUUUUUAGCAUUGAGUGGUUUUGGAGCGGACAUGGCCUCGUUUUCACCUUCAGAGAUUCUGCAGGAAACAUUGCUUUGUUCUACUAGAGGUUUGUUUUCCUGUGUUUACGCCUGGGCCUUUUACAGAACCCGUUGAGAAGAAUGUGUGUGGAUUGUUUUUUAUCUUUGCAAAGUUUCAGAAAAUAGGUUUUUUUUUUUCUUUUUGCCCGUGUCUGCAUAUUUUAUUCCUUUAAAUGGUUUCCAAACUUUUCUUUCGGUAUAUUCUAACAUUUUCCUUUGCAUAGGAUUCACCACAUGUCAACCAUUAAAUCAUUUUCACCUUCAGAGAUUCGGCAAUGAAAACAGAUUUACAGUUAGUUUAAAAUUUUUGAGCUAAUGCUAACUCAAUAGACAAACAUUAGCAUUCAUCUUUUCUUGAAGUUAGAAAGUUUUCUGAGAGAACUGGCUUCUUCAGGGCUACAACAGUCCAUGAUCCAACAUUCCUCUCUGGCAUCUCCUCAAACAGUUUUCUCGCUCCCCCAUUUAGUCCAUUUUGUGCAUACCCUGCAAUCAUGGUAUUCCAGGAAGUCAAAUCUCGUAGAGGCAUCUUCCCAAAAAGCUCUUCUGCCUCAUCCAAACACCCAUCCUAUAAAAACAACACAACUAACUUAGCCUCCAGGGUAGACCAUAGGCAAAAAUUAAUGAACUUAUUGCUGCUUGUACUUUGCAUAUACCAUCAUUGUAGAUUCCACCCUACGUUAUGCACGAGGCCGUUGUCUCUGGUUUGUCAAGGGCUCCACUUUGGCAUAUAUAUCUCACCCAAGAAACUGCAUAAAGGCAACUUCCUCCUCUUCAAAGGAACCCAUGAAGGAAAUGCAUUUCAUGGGAUCUGGAAGAAACUGCAUAAAGGCAACUUCCUCCUCUUCAGAGGAACCCAUGAAGGAAAUGCAUUUCAUGGGAUCUAGACGAACAGGUUUCAUCCAUGUCUUCAAGAUCAACAUUGCAUUUUCUAGCUUUUACAGUACUCCUCUUACUGUCUAUUUCCACCCCCCAAAAAACUUUUCCAGAUUCAUAAAGGACACUGUGUUAGUAAAAUUGUUUUGUUUUACAUUAGUUACAGACAUAAGCACCGAUGGCUCUCUCCAUCCAAUAGAUUAAAUUAUUGUUUUUCAUGUGUUGUUUUCGUCCUAUUGAUGUUGAUAAUGCUUUAUCCUUCAUGACAUACCUUGCUUCACCAUGUUCUAUAUACUCACGUCUUCUAGGUGCUUGAACAGAAGCUGUGUGACUGGAAGAUGUUGCAUGUUGUUUGGUUUUCAUACUAGAUGGUGUUGUUUCCAACUUUGACUUAAGCAUUUUAGAUGAGCAUAGAACAAACAUUUCAAACUCAAGAGUUAGGAGCGACUUAUGUAAAGACCACCCUGCCACAAAGAUUAAAAGGCUACUAUGAAACCUAUUGAAAGACUAAGAGAACAUUCUCCUUUCUUUUCAAUUUUAAUAUUUUACUCCAUUGGCCUCAUUCUAUUUGACUCUAUAGUCAUCAUGUUUCUAUAACUAUCAUACAAGAAUGUUUGACUUGCAAGGGCUGUCAUAAAUAAAUUGAAAGCAUUGAUAUUAGUGCUGAGUAACCCUGUUGCUUGUAAGGCCCCUACCAUGUGUAUCAAACUGUGAUUUAGUUGUCUUUCUAGCCUUUUUUCAAUACCCUGUAUGAUAUAUCUUCGAUCAUUAUGAUCCACAGUCACUAUGAUCUUUCUACGAUCAUUGUAGUCCAGAAGAACUUAUUUUCCUCGGGCAUUCUAUUAAACGGUUCCAUAGCCUACUCAACCAACUCAUUCUGUGUACAUGCCAUAACCAUAACAAUCCACAAUCCAAAUUUCAUUUGUGGCAUUUCCUCAAAUAGUUUUCUAGCUUCCUAAAAGGAUUCCACAGUCAAGGCUUCAAAUUGACAAUCCUAGCUUUUUGUUCCAUCAUUUGAAAUGUAACCUUGUUAUCUAAUAAUAUUGUUAUAUGAGGAUCUACUCAUAUUAGACUCAAUUAUUUUGCAUACAAAGGCUUUUGCUUCCAGCUCAUUGAAUCAAGUCUUAUUAUCUAUACUUCAGUGUCACAAACAUCCUAGCAAAAACUGAUUGUUCAACCAUUAAACAGAAACCAGAUCAACGAUUAACAGAACUUGCCUCCUAGGGUGCACUAACUGCAAUUGCAUAUAAAAAGCCUCAUCUUUUUGUGAAGAAUAAUUCUUCUGCAUUGGAUUCAUGGGUGGAUGCCUGACUAUGUCAAAAUGGUACGCCCUAAAUCAAUUUUUUAGUAUAACAAGGCAAGUUCUUAAAUGGUCUCCAAAUCAUUUGUACAUUAUGCAAGCUUAGCCUUCUUUUUGCUUAGCAUGUUCGAUGUUAUUUAAUAUGAAUGGUGACUAUAGGGUUGUGCUAGCAUUUGGAAUACAAAUCAAGCAAUAGCAUUCAUAUCCAUUCCAGUUCGACUUAUUUGGAUUUAAUGAAGAAGAAUCUGAUUGGGAAACUGCUACUCUAUUAUUCUUAAAGUUUUACUGGUUAAAGCUUUUGACUUAGACUCAAUUUCUACUUUUUCUCAUAAUUUCAUUGGAAAAAGGUAAAACUGUUUGUCUGCUUUCAGUUUUUGACUAUGAAUAUGUGGAGUUGGUGAAAGAAUCAUCUGUGGGACCAUCUGUCCUAAAGCUCCGCGGUAAAGAAAUCAUGUGGAAUCAUGUUAAGUAGACCCAGUGACUUAAUAAUUUUCUCCAACAGGCAAUAUUCCUUAAUAAUUCUCUGCAAUUACUCAGUUAAUUCAUAUGUGGAGUUGGUGAAAGAAUCAUCUGUGGGACCAUCUGUCAUAAAGCUCCGCAGUAAAGAAAUCAUGUGGAAUCAUGUUAAGUAGACCCAGCGACUUAAUAAUUUUCUCCAACAGGCAAUAUUCCUUAAUAAUUCUCUGCAAUUACUCAGUUAAUUCUCUUUGCUUGAUGAUUAACUCAACAUAACUUCAAUGCCUAACAAAACAUGACAAAGACAAGAGGCAGAAUAUUAUGCCGUGACAACUGUAUAGGGAGCCCACACAUUUUCAAAGCUUUUUAAUUGAUUAUGUAUACUCCUUGGAAUCUUGAACUUGCCUAUCACUUUGUAGAUCUUUUGGAAUCAUUAAGUUUCAGAAAGAGACGAAUUCACUAUGAAACAACACCUUGUGAGCCAAUAUUUUUUAGAAUCCAUUAAUCACAUUUUAAAUUAUUGGUUAAACAGUCUUAGUCUGGACCGUAUGGGUGGAAAAAAAUGUAUAUAAUUAAUGCCAAUGCACCCCAAAAUUCAUAGCUAAAUAUUCUGAAUUGUGUGACUUGAACCUAUGUAAUAAUAUGUGAGACCGCGAAGAAAAAGGUCAGUAGGUAACAAAAAAUGAGGAAGCAAUUUGGAAUGUAAAACUUUUGAGAUUUCUUUUCUUUUCUUGUCAUACUUAGUUGCAAUUGAUUGUUGUAUGGUCACAAGCUUCACAUCAUAUUUCCAUUUACAUAUGUUUUGAUAAAUUUAUGUUCUCUCCACUUCUCAUUCCUAGUAUUUAUGUAUUUAUGUUCUCUCCACUUCUCAUUCCCCGUAUUUAUGUAUUUUUUCAAAAAAAUUCUCAUUGAUUUUAGUAUAAACUUAGAGCCAUCUAUAACCUCUGGUUUCCCCUAUAUAGGUUUGAUUAUACUUUGUUCUUGAUUGAAAUUCAUUGUAAUGGAACUUUUUCAAGUCACAUAUUUAGUUGAUUUGACAGGUGUUGAA